rnacentral:rRNA from 1 species
AUACGGAGGGUGCAAGCGUUAUCCGGAAUCAUUGGGUUUAAAGGGUCCGCAGGCGGAUUAAUAAGUCAGUGGUGAAAUCCUCUCGCUUAACGAGAGAACUGCUAUUGAAACUGUUAGUCUUGAAUUCGGUCGAAGUAGGCGGAAUGUGUCAUGUAGCGGUGAAAUGCAUAGAUAUGACACAGAACACCGAUAGCGAAGGCAGCUUACUAGACCUGGAUUGACGCUCAUGGACGAAAGCGUGGGGAGCGAACAGGAUUAGAAACCCUAGUAGUCC